rnacentral:rRNA from 1 species
UACGUAGGGUGCAAGCGUUGUCCGGAAUUAUUGGGCGUAAAGAGCUCGUAGGCGGUUUGUCGCGUCUGCUGUGAAAACUCAGGGCUUAACCCUGAGCCUGCAGUGGGUACGGGCAGACUAGAGUGUGGUAGGGGAGAUCGGAAUUCCUGGUGUAGCGGUGGAAUGCGCAGGAUAUCAGGAGGAACACCGGUGGCGAAGGCGGAUCUCUGGGCCA